CCUACGGGUGGCAGCAGUAGGGAAUCUUCCACAAUGGGCGCAAGCCUGAUGGAGCAACACCGCGUGAGUGAAGAAGGGUUUCGGCUCGUAAAGCUCUGUUGUUGGAGAAGAACGUUCGUGAGAGUAACUGUUCACGCAUUGACGGUAUCCAACCAGAAAGUCACGGCUAACUACGUGCCAGCAGCCGCGGUAAUACGUAGGUGGCAAGCGUUAUCCGGAUUUAUUGGGCGUAAAGCGAGCGCAGGCGGUUGCUUAGGUCUGAUGUGAAAGCCUUCGGCUUAACCGAAGAAGUGCAUCGGAAACCGGGCAACUUGAGUGCAGGAGAGGACAGUGGAACUCCAUGUGUAGCGGUGGAAUGCGUAGAUAUAUGGAAGAACACCAGUGGCGAAGGCGGCUGUCUGGUCUGCAACUGACGCUGAGGCUCGAAAGCAUGGGUAGCGAACAGGAUUAGAUACCCUUGUAGUC
rnacentral:rRNA from 1 species